GGACGUAAGGGUGAUGUGGCUUCAACAUCUGUCACCCCAUCGACCACCAGGUUGAUUCGGCUGAUCUGGCUGGCUAGGUGGGUGUCUCCUUCCUCCCUCGCCAUGCC
rnacentral:sRNA from 1 species